rnacentral:rRNA from 1 species
AGCAGCCGCGGUAAUUCCAGCUCCAAUAGCGUAUAUUAAAGUUGUUGCAGUUAAAAAGCUCGUAGUUGAACUUCGGGGUUCCCCCAUUGGUCAGGCUUAACUGUCCGCACUGGUGGGAGGGAUUCUUACCUUCUGAGGAAUCUCCAUGCCAUUAAUUUGGUGUGGUGGGGAAUCAGGACUAUUACUUUGAAAAAUUAGAGUGUUUAAAGCAGGCUAACGUCUGAAUACAUUAGCAUGGAAUAAUGAAAUAGGACGGCUUGGUUCUAUUUUGUUGGUUUCUAGGAUCACCGUAAUGAUUAAUAGGGAUAGUUGGGGGCAUUAGUAUUCAAUUGUCAGAGGUGAAAUUCUUGGAUUUUAUUGAAGACUAACUACUGCGAAAGCAUUUUGCCAAGGAUGUUUUCAUUAAUCAAGAACGAAAGUUAGGGGAUCGAAGACGAUCAGAUACCGUCG